GGGCAUAUUGGAAGCCGUAAUCCAUGGGCGGUAGCGUG
rfam:Shewanella frigidimarina NCIMB 400, complete genome.